CCUACGGGGGGCUGCAGUGGGGAGGCUUCCACAAUGGGGGAAACCCUGAUGGAGCGACGCCGCGUGGGUGAUGAAGGUCUUCGGAUCGUAAAGCCCUUUCAGCAGGGAAGAAGAGAUCAACGAAUAAUACACGUUGAGAUCAGACGGUACCUGAAGAAGAAGCUCCGGCUAACUCCGUGCCAGCAGCCGCGGUAAGACGGAGGGAGCAAGCGUUGUUCGGAUUUACUGGGCGUAAAGGGCGUCUAGGCGGGCUGAUAAGUCAGGUGUGAAAUCCCCCGGCUCAACCGGGGAACUGCACUUGAUACUGUUGGUCUUGAGUACGGAAGAGGAAAGCGGAAUUCCUGGUGUAGCGGUGAAAUGCGUAGAUAUCAGGAAGAACACCGGUGGCGAAGGCGGCUUUCUGGUCCGUUACUGACGCUGAAGCGCGAAAGUGUGGGGAGCAAACAGGAUUAGAUACCCGAGUAGUC
rnacentral:rRNA from 1 species